CAUUGUUUUAGUUGUUAUUGUAACAUUAAACUCUAUUAUUCAUUGUGCGCAAGUGCUGUUGGUUUAGUGUUAUUCGCUGAUGGACAUAUGCUUUGUUGGCUCCAACCCAAAAUCGCCAACCACCCGUAUCAGGGACUUGGGUUCUGACGUGAUUUCAACACUUUUAGUAUAGCGCGAGAUUUUCCAGCAAUCGGUCGAGUUUUCCGGACAAUUACUCCAUUAAUUUAGAAAGAGUACAGUUGACACAUAGGUCCUGCGAAUAUUUAAGUGACGUUUAGAAAUAACAAUUUUUAAAGGAAAAUGGUGAAGAACAAAGUAGAAAACUGAGAUUUGUUGCAAAUACGCGCGCUACGGAUUGGUGUAUUUAACAAAGAAAGUUCAAUGUUAUUUUAAUUAAGAUACUUAUAAAAACUUUUCGAAAAGCAUGCUGUCUGAAGGAAAUUAAACAAACAUAGCUUUGAUUCCUUAAAGAUUUUUUGUGGAAAAUAUAUAUAAAAUUUAGAAUAAUAAGUAUGCGAUCCGUAAAAAUGCGACUAGAACCACCGACCGUCUUAUAAAUAAAUACAAUUGAAUCAUUGGAAAGACGAACAAUAAAGUCAGAACUCAUUAGGCUCACUAAAACAAUGACAAACCCCAAACAAACAUUUCAUUUUAUAUACUUAGCUAUAGUAUUUAUUAUAGGCUUUCAAGUCAGUUACGCACAAACAACGUGUAAGAAUGGCUUAGGACGCGUUCUAUACGAACGACUGCCCAACCAGCAACUACAGGGUUACGACGAUGAUGUAGUGCGCGACACAGCGCCGCCCUUUCGAGUCUUAGAAAAAUGUCAAGACUUGUGUCUGCGCGAUCGCACCGGCACCAACAACCUGGUACGCACCUGCACCAGCUUUGACUUUCAACCAGGCAGUCGCAUCACCUCUUUCGGCGGCACCUCCGAAUACGAAGAAUCCCUUUGCUACCUAACAUCCGAACAAGCGGGUCCUGAGGGCAUCGGCAGUCUGAUGCUGGUACCAAAUAGUGUGCAUUUCAAUGAGAUUUGCUUGACCUCUAAUCGCCCGGAAAGAGAAUGUCCCAGUAGGCGGUAUGUGUUUGAGCGGCAUCCGCGCAAGAAAUUGAAAUUACCAAUCUCGGAUGUCAAGGAGUUUACGGCAGCGAAUCGUUCGGAUUGUGAGGAUAAGUGUUUAAAUGAAUUUGCAUUCGUUUGUCGCUCCGCCAAUUUCGACUCUACAAUGCGUUCCUGCACGUUAAGCAGGUUCACACGUCGCACACAUCCAGAAUUACUCGAAGAUGACCCCAACUCUGAUUACUUGGAAAACACCUGCUUAAAUGCUGAGCGACGUUGUGACGGUCUAGCUGUGUUCGUUAAGGAGGAGAACAAACGACUAGGCGGUCCCUUCGAAGUGGAUAUUUUCAAUAAUAUGACUUUGGAGGAAUGUCAGACUAUGUGUCUACGCGCCGAGAAAUACUUCUGUCGUUCCGUCGAGUUCGAUGAUCAGACGAAGCAGUGUAUUUUGUCUGAGGAGGACUCUAUUUCACAGAAAGAUGACAUCAGUAUAAGUUCCAGUCCGACGCACCAUUUUUACGAUUUGGUCUGCUUAGACAACCAACGUGCCACUGAUUACCCCGAUAAUUCCGUCACAUCACAUUUAUUCUCUUCGGGUCGCCGACCCGACACGGCUUUUCAGCGUUACCGAAAUUCACGUCUGGGUGGAGAAUUUCAUUCCGAGAUUACUGGCCGCUCCUUGAGUGAAUGCCUCGACGAGUGUUUGCGUCAAACUAGCUUCCAGUGUCGAUCGGCGGUUUAUAGUGAUCGCUUUCGCACUUGCCGCUUGAGUCGUUACAAUCAAAAGGAUGGCAUGCGUAUUAUUUACGACGCAGACUACGAUUAUUACGAGAAUCUAAUGUUAAACGUGGUUGGCGGUGGCGAUACGGAUGGACACGGUGGAGUUAGCAAUGGCGGUAAUCACAGGCCAAGUGAGCAUGGAAGCUCUAAUUGGCGGCCCCCCAGUAAAGAUGACGAUCGUUAUGGCACGGGGGGUGGUGUCAAUACUGGUGGUAGAUACCCUGUCGGCGGUGGCGGUACCACAGGAUCUGGAACACCUGUUGGCGGUAGUGCUGAUGAUUACGGGCGCCCUUACGAUCGCUAUCCAAUACCUAAUGAAUAUGAUCGUUAUCCAGGUAGCGGGAGCGGCGGUGGUGACCGAUACGGUAACGAUGGUCGUUACCCAUCAUCUAUUGACAGUCGCGAUCCCUAUGAAGAACGCUAUCCACCGGGACGCCUUCCUGUUGGUGAUCAAGAGCGAUAUCCAAGUGAUCGUGAUCGUCAUCCAGGUGUAGGAUUAGAUUUAUAUCCAGGUGAUCGAGAACGUUACCCAGGAGACCGUGAUCGUUAUCCUAAUGAGCGUCAUCCAUUCGACCGUGACCGUGACCGGGAUCGUGAUCAUUUUCUUAUUAGGGAGCAUGAUCUUGAUAGAUAUGCUGGUGGUGAUCGCGAUCGUUAUCCUGGAGAUCGAAAUCGAUAUCCAGUUGGGGAUCAAGACGGUUUCCUUAUCAAUAAUCGUGAACGUGAACGUUAUCCAGGUUUUAACGAUCGUUAUCCACCUGGUCGUUAUGGCGAGCGUAACCGUGAACGAGAUCGCGAUCGCGAUAGUGAUCGUGAUCGUUACCCAAUUGAAGGUUAUCCACGCCGGGGUCCGUAUUCUCACCGUCCUCUAGAUCGUUACCCUAUACCUCCAAUCAACGGAUUAUCUAGUGAUCUGCCUCACACUAGACCUUAUCCUCCAGAUGAUGAUCUACCCUAUCGUCCUUAUGUUACUGCAAGCCGUUACCCACAAGACCGUUAUGCUAGUAGAUAUCCUUCACGUUAUCCACCAGAAAGAGAUCAUACAUAUGGUUACACUGGACGCGAUGCCCCUGACAAUUUUUUCCUUGAUAAACGUUUUCGCCCCUCCUCUAUUGACUCACGUGACCCUUUGCUGCAACCACCGCAACGAUUUGGACCAGACAGCCGUUAUCCUCCAGAUGACUUAAUACACACUGCUCGAAGGCCAGAACCAGAUUCAGCUAAACGUUAUCCCCCAGCACCUUUAGUGCCACCCACAACUAUAAGCAAAUACCCCUCUACACCAAAUCGAUUUCCGGUAGGUACUGACCGCUACCCCAUCGAUAUAUAUAAAUAUGGCAAUCGAGGUAGCAGUGGUAGCAGCAGUGGCGUAAGACCAGGUUAUGAUCGUCCACGUCCGCCACCUCAUUACUAUGAUGUAGACUAUGAGGACCGUUAUGGUGGCUAUGAUCGUGAAUACGAAGGACCUAUUGGCAGACGACCUUUAGGUGGUGGUAGCGGCUAUCCUCACUAUGAGAGUCCUUUCAAUCGUCCAUAUGGACAUGGCGUGGGUUCUCCGCCCCCACUUGACGACAAUCGACCUUUGCCACCACCAUUACAUCCCUAUGGGGCAGCUGGAAGCAUUGGACCAGUAACGUCCGGCGGUGGUCCACCACGGCCCCCAGUGACGCGUUGUGAAGAGACUGACAAUUUCAAACAAAUCGCAGCAAGACACAAAAUGCGCCGACACUAUGUGCGGCGGUCACUAGUCGUGCCCUCCCUAAUACAGUGCGAACGAGAGUGCAUUGAAUCGCGUGACUUUAUUUGUCGUAGCUUCAAUUACAGGGAUGCGGCGGCUACAAACUACGAUGAACGCGAUAUGCCCAAUUGUGAGCUAAGUGAUCGGGAUUCACGUGAACUGGACGUUCAUGAUCCAAGCAAUUUCGAUGCAGCUAAUUACGACUACUACGAGCGUAGUUUGGGUCGUAGUGAUGGCGAGUGUAUGGAUGUGACGCAGACUUGCAACGAGGAGGGAAUGGAAUUCACCAUACGCACUCCGGAAGGAUUUCUUGGACGGAUCUAUACAUACGGGUACUAUGACCGAUGCUUCUUCCGCGGCAACGGUGGCACUGUAAAUGUGCUACGCAUCAGCGGUCCACAAGGCUAUCCCGAUUGCGGCACCCAACGAUAUGGCGACACGCUGACCAACAUUGUUGUUGUGCAAUUUUCCGAUAAUGUGCAAACCAGUCGUGACAAACGAUACAAUUUAACUUGUGUAUUCCGUGGACCAGGGGAAGCAGUAGUCACUUCCGGUUAUAUUGGUGCAGGAUCUGGCAGUCCCAUACCCAUCGAAUACCUUCCUGCGGAGAAUACACUAAGUUCGAAAGUCCGACUAAUGAUUCUCUAUCAAGGACGCCCAACCACAACCAUAGCUGUGGGAGAUCCACUGACUUUCCGGCUGGAGGCACAAGAUGGUUACAAUCACGUAACUGAUAUAUUCGCCACUAAUGUGGUGGCACGUGAUCCAUACUCGGGUAGAAGCAUACAACUUAUUGAUAGAUUUGGCUGCCCUGUGGAUCCUUAUGUGUUUCCCGAGCUGGAUAAACUGCGUGAUGGGGACACAUUGGAGGCGCGUUUCAAUGCCUUUAAAAUACCUGAGUCAAAUUUCCUUGUAUUUGAAGCUACAGUUCGCACUUGUCGUGACGGUUGCCAACCUGCUUAUUGUCCAGGUGCAGCUGGUCGGCAAGAGCCUUCUUUCGGACGUCGCAGACGUUCACUAAACAUAACAGAUGUUGCAGAAAUCGAACCAAAUACCGAACCUGUAUCUGAACGUUUGACUGACGAACUCUCUGAAGUGAAUAGUACCAAAGUAACAGGCACAAUUGGAGAUUUCAACAAAACGAAUACAAGAGAUGACAAGUCUAAUCAGGAGUUAGAAGAACCAGAGCAAGUGCGUGAAAUGAUUGAGGUAUUUGAGACUCGUGAGGAAAUCGAAAAAGACUCUUACCCACGGAAGCUAGUUGCUCCGAUUGAGACCGUGUGCAUGACACCCUCCGAGUAUCAUGGCCUUAUAACAGCAAUUAUACUACUUAUGAUUUUGUUAUUCAGCAUUACUUUGGUAUCCGGCUUAGCUUAUAGACGCUACUGGAGUACGAUGACGAAGAAUCGAAUUGCCGAUCGACAUUCUCCCAUACAUUCACUAGGGCAGUCCUCGAUACGCACGCACGAGCGCUUCAGUGAGAUCGGUCAAAUGGCUAGUGGCAGCGGAAAUGCAAUGCCAAAUCGUACCGCGAAUGCAUUUCGUGCGAAUAUGUCAAUCUUUGGUGGCAGUCUGCAUAAAACAUUUGCCACAGGGAAUUUGGCUAGAAUGUGUCAACUGCCUGUUAUAAAUCCGAUACGAAAUAACGUCAGUACAAGUCAUCAAUUUGAGGACCCUAGUGAACCAAUAUAUACCGAUCCAUCAUUGUUCGAACGCUCUAGGUGCGUAAGCUUAAAUGUUUGUGGUGUUGAAUUAAUUUUUCAUUAUGUCGCUAUGCAAAUGCACGAAAAUCAUAUGGGUAUAUCUAAUAAUAUAUUCACAUAUAGCACAUGAUAACUUAGAAAAAGAAAUUUUUGUGAAAUGAUAGCGCCGGAAGCAAUCUACACUCUCUAAUGCAAUUAGAUCUUUGCGCAGCCUAACCACAGAAGGAGAUGCUGAGAAUCGUCACGCAGUGUAAGCCGAUUUAUCGCACAUACAAAACACAUAAACAUAAUGCACGAAGAAGAAAUUAAAAGUCAUUGUAGAUGCAGCAGAUUAAGUAAAUUUCAGUAUGAAAUUUCCAAAAUAAGAACUUUCCACUUCCGUACCGCUAUGCUACAUAGACUUUUAUAUAUAUAUUAUUAAAGUGAGCUAUGUAAAAUAAAAAUAUAAGUUUUGUUUAGGUAACAUCUGCAAUAAAAAAUAAUAAAA